rnacentral:rRNA from 1 species
AGUACGUGAAACUGCUUAGAGGUUAAGCCCGAUGAACCUGAAUAUCCAUUAUGGAAAAUUCAAUAUUAAGAAAAUAAUAUAAAUAAUAUUAUAAAAAUAGUAUGCAAUUUUUCCAUAUAAGGACAUUGUAAUCUGUUAAUGUUAUAAAUAUUUAUCAAAAGAUCUAAUACUUAAGUUUAUUUAAAUUGUUUAUUUUCGGAUAUUCAACAUAAAAUAAAUGUGUUAGAUUGGAUAAAUCAUUGACAGAUCGAAUUAUAUAUUGUGCAUAAAUUCUUCGGAAUUUUUCAGUGGUAGAUAGAUCUAUUGAUUUAUUUAUUGAUUGCAUGCAUAAUUAUGAUUGACAAUGCGAUAGAUUCAGGAUACCUUCGGGACCCGUCUUGAAACACGGACCAAGGAGUCUAACAUAUGUGCAAGUCAUUGGGUAUUUUUAAUAAAACCCAAUGGCAUAAUUAACUUAACUGUUAUUUAUAAUGAGAUUAAUUUAUAUUUUGUUAUGAUUUAUUUAUUCAAUCUCGGGGCGUUCUAUACAGUUAUGCAUAAUAAUAUUUAUAUUAUUUAUGCCUCUAACUAGAGC